UUACUCUCUCUCUCUCUCUCUGACGGCUGUUCUUCUUCUUCCCUUGUCGUCUUCUCUUCUCCCUAAGACACAACAAGACAUAGAGACAAAAGAGAGAGAGAGAGGAGGCAAAGUUCGGACAUGAGAAAGGAAGAAGAAGAGACGACGGCCGGAGAGAAGAGAGAGAGAUCUCGGCUUGGUCGGCAAAGGCGAUAGCUUGGGACGGAUACUCUGAGAUUGAGGCUUCUUCUGUAAGAUUAGACUCUAAAGGAGGGAAGUUUGUGCUGAGGAUUGAGGAUACCGAUUUGGAGAUAUCAAAGCGAAGCUGCUGUUCUUCUCGUGGCUUGGUCUUGAUUGUGAUGAAGGUCCUGGGGUUGGUGGAGACUUUGGUCCUUACAAGACAAUCCGAAAGGAAUGCUCUUUACUUUAGUAUUAAUUUUCUUACAAGACUCGGUGAUGGAUGUAUCGUUCUGUGCCUGGGUAUUCAAUGUAAUUGCAACCAUGGUCUGCUGAAUUAAAGGCGGAGGUGUGAAGAUCUUUUUCCUUUCCACAAUCUAUGUGUUGAUGGGCUGUCCACUUUCUUAUGUUGUAUGUUGUGGAAGAAAAGGGUGGUAAAGAUGGUGAGCUUUUGGCUGAUGCGAUCGAGUGAUGCAGAGAUGGACACAAAAAUGGAUAUGCUUGAUGGUGAAGAUGUGGUUGCCGAUGAUGAUGAUACUCCCUCCGUUUCGUUAUCUGCUGGAUGCAAGUACCAAGGAUAUUGUAAAACUAAUAACGACUGCAGAAAAGUAUGAAUAGGCCAUGACAUAGAUCCAUCAUUUAUGGCUUGCAUUUUAAGUGAUCCAAAGAAAAACCAAUGUUGUUGCCUUACUCGUCAGUGAUAUAUCGAUAUUAUCCAGCACUACCUAUUAUAAGAUUUAAAAUUAAUAAAAACUAAAGAUAUUUAUAACAAUAUUCAAUUUAAAUUAGCAUGAGUAUCUGACCAAAAUCCUUAAAUGGUCAAGUGGGAAGAGCUUAAGUGGUUUCAUAUGUCUAUUGAUUAUACUAUGUGAAUCCAUUUUUAAACAAUGCAUUGCCACACAAUGGCAACAAAUGCAUUUGUCAUUUGUUAAUAUUGUUAAAGUAAUUAUAGUAAUUAUAUUGUGAUAUGAGCUUUCAAAGCACAUGAUUGUUUUAGCUGCAAAAAUUAUUUUCAUCUGAAAACAUUAUUUUACAUAAUUUAUAUACCUUCAACUUUCAAAUAAUAGAUUUAUAUUUUGAGUUGGUUGAUGAUACAUUUAUGAUUAUUUAAAAAGUAUAUUUAUAUAUUAAAUAUAUUUAUUCUUAAUUAUAAAUUAUUUAUUUUAAAAGAAAUAUUUUUUUAUAUAAAAGUAGAUAUAUAUAAAUAAAAAAUCUUAUGGAAAUAUUUUCCUAAAAUAUAUUAAUAUAAAAUAAAUAUAGAAAUAAAAAAAUUAUAUUUUUAUAUAUGAAAAUUAGUCUUAAAUAUGCCAAAUGUAUUUUAACUUUUAGUUGGUUUAAUUAUUUCCAAUACUACUCAAAAUAUAUGCGAAUCUUAUUAAGUUUUUAAUUUAUAGAAAUUAGUUUUUAAAUUGUAUUCUAAAUGAUAAAUCAAGCACUAUGUUGGGUUUUCCGCAAACAUUAUACAAAAGGGAUAAUUUUAGGCUGGUAUUAUCAUAUAAAGAUAUACAUGAUGAAUUUUUGGUCUAUAUUUUCAUUUUUUUCCAAAAAAAUCUUUUCUUAAUCUAUUAAAAUCAUAUUUAGACUUCAUGUGUUAUAUUUCAAUUUUGGACUACCAAAUAUAGGUUUGUUUCAAUCAUUUGAUAGAAUAUCAAUGACAUUAGGCACUACACAUGUAUGGUGGCUACCUUUAAUUUAUGAAAUUCUAUAUCCCAUUAUUUUUCAUUGCAAUAAAUUUAUUUUUAAAUAAAGAUAAAACAUUUAUAAACUAGGUGUCACAGUAGAAGCGAGUUAUCUCCAUAAUAUUCACUGUUUAUCCGGAUGAAGCUUUGUAUUAUAUCAAUCGAGGUGUCACAGUAGAAGCGAGUUGCUGGUGUUGUGGCGAGUUCUUGUUUUUCUGUAGUCAUGUAAAAAAAAAUAAUAAUGUUAGACAAUAUGAAAACAAAUAUAAUAAUACUGUAGUUUUGAAAUAUAGCUCAUUUUGCUUCUUUGUUGCAAUUAAUCUAUCAAAACAAGAAUUGUUUUUUUUUUAAUAAAUUAAACAAACAGAUAAAAAAAACAUGACGAAGUAAUAGUUAUUUGACAUUAUAAUUAUCAAACAAUAUUUUGUUAUUUUUUAAAAAAUUAUUGAUGGUUAUAUUACCUUUUAGUAGUCGGGGAUUGAUGCUUGUUAUGACUACGACUUUGUAUUUCAUGUUUGUCAUGCUUUGUAACUCCCUAAAAUGAGCUGCUUCUUUGUCUAAUAUUGUCAGGCGGACCACAAUUGUCCCUCUCUCCCAAGAAGACCUGUUUAAGGUCCAUCUAAUGGAAGUAUUUAAGUGUUUCAAAAAAAAAUGUGUGAAUCUAUAUUAUUGCCCAGAAUAUAUAUACAUAUAUAUGUAUAUAUAUAUACAUAUAUAUAUUAAAAAUACUAUUUUUGGUACCUGUUUAGAAGCAAACCAAGUACGACCUUGGUUGUUGUCCUGGGAUUUUGUAGAUCGCUACCUUGCAUCAAUAUUAUUUGUCCAACCACAUCUGGGGUAAUGGUUGUAUCGUGAAUGUGAUUUUUAAUUUUUUAAGAAGUGAUAAAGAUGAACUUUGACAAAAAAAAAAAAAGAUGAGAUGGUUCUUUUACCUGGUAGAUAGUUGGUGUGGGCUAUGCUGAUCAUGUUUUCGUAUCCUUGAGGAUGGAACACGUAAGAAGGCAACAUCGGUAUAUUUUCUAUUAUUGGACUAAUAGUUGUUGAUGUGUUGAUUUGGAUAAUGUACGGUUGAGUAGUGAGCUUGUACCGUUGAGUGUUUUUUAGAUGUGUAAAAUAUUGAAGUUGAUAUAUUUCGCCUUCUUGCAAGAUUUGGGUUGUUUCUUCUGGAAGUGAUUUAUCAAGCCUUCCUUCAUAUGUUUCCGCCUGUUUGCAUAAUAUAUAUUAUAAUUGUUGUUACAUGUUUCUUUCUUAGCUUAAUUAAUUAAUUAAAAUAUCACAUACCUGGAGGUCAAUACAAAGGAACGCUGUACCAAGGUCCUCGUUGUUUUUUUGUUGAUUGAAAAUCCGCCACAUACGCCAUAUACGAACCACCUUUGGUAGCCUUGACAUCUCCUUUUCCCUGUUUAAAUAACCAAACCGACAUUAUUUCUUAUGGAAAAUAAUAGAUUACUAAUGGAACUCUUAUUACGAAAACUGAGGCCAUCAUACCAAAACUGAUUUGGAAUUUUGAGCCCCUGGUCUACGUCUAAAAAUAAGACUAUGGCAUAGAGAAGACUAGAGUGUUCUAUUUUCUCUAUAAAUAUGUAGUGGCCAAUGUCUUGUAAUGUAAGCAAGCAAGUGUAAAAUCAGUUUCUCCACCACAUCACUCUAAGCUUUCGAAAAUCCAAAAAGUUUUCUCUAUUCUUGAACAAGAACACAAAACAGAGUAAAUAAACAGAGUCAAAACUUCUGAUAUGGCAUCUUGUUGAUCCGCACGUACUAUACGGGUAUUAAAAUACUAAACUUACUCAAAUUUGCCAAAAACAAUACAGAUUUUUCAUUAAUUCAAAAAAUACCAAACUUACAUUGACCUAGCCAAUUUGGGUAAGAGCUUAGUCCACAAUAAUUGUCGUUAAUCAGCCGUUUACUGUUCACGUUUAUGAAGACGCCGUCGUUUUAUAAUUAUAAUUACUUAACAAAAAUUUUCAAAUCGAAAACAUAAGAAGCCUAAACUCAGAAUCGGUUAAAGUCUUCCAACAUCAGGUGAAAGAGAUGAGUUCGAGUCAGUGUAAAAAAUGAGAUUUUGGAAUGUGAGGUUUCCCUUCUAAGUGUACUUUUGGAUUGUAGUUUAACAAUAUGAUUGUCUUUAAACCAUAGAAUUGUUGUUUUAUAGGGAACAUUUGUUCAAGUGGGUAGAAGAAUCUAUGCUUGAAGAGAUGGAAGGUGCAAUUCCAAAGCUUGAAAACACUGAGAAAGAAGUGUACAAUCUGAAAACAGAUGUCAAAAGAUGGUUAAUGUUCGGCUUUAGAUUUUCCCCUUCAGUCAGAAGGGGCAAAUCACAAAACUGAUCCAGAAAUAGUAACAUCGACUACCUAAUGUUUUUUUUUAAAUCUCGCUGGCGAGACGUUAGUUGGCCAAACAUAUUUGAUACAAAUUAUGAACAUAUUCAUGUUGUUCAGUUAUAAGAGUGAAAAACUUUGUAACCAUAGUUGCAGAGGAAAGAAAUGGAGAAGAAGAUGAAAAGAAAUAAAAGAGGGAAAAAAAUUAAACAGUUGAAAUAUUAGGAUUGGGCCGUACUCCGGCCAUAAUUUUAGCUAGAUUUUAACCCACGCUUUGAAAGCACAUAAUAUUUUACUUUAUAAAAAUUUAGUAAAAACACAUUAUAGGUUAUUCAUUUUAUUAGAGAUAUUAAAAUAUGUAAAUCCGUCCUACUUGAACCCGUCUUAGUUUUGAUCGACUUCAUUUAAAUCAUAAACCCAUUUUGGGGAGCAAAUUAAGCAAUCCGGGUUUGAAGCAGCUUGGGUUCAUAGCAAUCCCUCUACAUAACAUCAAAGUACAUGAAUAUUAAAUCAUGCUUUGAGAUUUUUUACAUAUUUGGAGAGAUAUGUGGGUUGCAGCUCCCGAUAGAGAUUAAUUCAAUUUUUUAAUAGUCCUAAGAUACUCACAAAUCAAUUAAAACAAAAUUAUGAACCCGUUUUGACCAAUUUGAUUUUAAGAUCUAAUAGGAUGUACAUUUACAUCUGCGAUAAUUAAGUUGCCCAUUUAGAACCGUUUAGACUUAUUUAAUGUUUUUUGAAUAUCCAAAAUUAUUUUUAAAAUUUUGAAUUAUUUGAAGGGAAUUUUAAAAAUAAAAAUAAGAUAAUUAAUGAUAUUUUUAAAAAGUUGGAAAGUAAAAUCAAUGUAACUCAUGUAUAAGAAUGUUACUAUGGAAAUGUCUAAAGUUGUCCUUUUUGUAUGGCAAUUUUAUCUUAAUGAAAGAUAUUUUUAUAAAAACACAAUGAUACAAAAAGUAAUAUACUGAGGUAUUGUAAAGGCAACAAAAUAAUAAUGAUCAUUUUUUUGGUAAAAUGUUAAAUAAUAAUGAUCAUUUUUACUAAUAUAGAUUGAAUAUAUGAAAGAUAACAUAAACUAAAACCUCUCAAAACUAUUCAAGAUAAAAAAAAACUCAAAGGAAAAAAAGAAGAU